GGCCGCCCCGCGGGGGAUCUGCGGAAGGAUCAUUAUU
rnacentral:rRNA from 1 species